rnacentral:rRNA from 1 species
UACGUAGGGGGCUAGCGUUGUCCGGAUUUAUUGGGCGAAAGAGCGUGUAGGCGGCCAGGUAGGUCUGCUGUGAAAACUCGAGGCUCAACCUCGAGACGUCGGGCGGAAACCAUCUGGCUAGAGUCCGGAAGAGGAGAGUGGAAUUCCUGGUGUAGCGGUGAAAUGCGCAGAUAUCAGGAAGAACACCCGUGGCGAAGGCGGCGAUCUCUGGGGACGGUACUGACGCUGAGACGCGAAAGCGUGGGGGA